rnacentral:tmRNA from 1 species
GUUCUUCCCCCGGCAACCAUUCGUCCCUAUAUUGAAAUUGUUCGGGCUUGCCCGGGCUAUGGACAUAAACGCGCGUGUAAUAAGCGGACUGGACCCGGGUGCGAUUCCCGGCGGCUCCACCAAUCCUUCUUCGGGUUAUCGCCGGAAGCAGGGGGCCGAUCAGCAUCGACAGACGUAUAAAGACGUAGCUUUGUCUCGGCGUGGCUCACCGUUUCGGGCCAUUAAACUAACUGCGAACGAUAACUUCGCUGAAGAGUAUGCGAUCGCCGCGUAAUGCGGUGCUAGCGCACUCAGCCUAAACUCCGGGGGGUUCAGAUCCUCCGGCGGGGCCCGGGGGAGCCUGCCAACAGAAUCCCCCACU